rnacentral:lncRNA from 1 species
AAUUGAACCGUACUGAUUCAUGGACGGUUCCCGGUUUAACCGAUGAACCGAAAACGGCGGUUCGAUACCGAUUCUGAUCAACAUGGUGACAAGAAAUGACGGAACCUUUGGGCUUUGACUCAUAAUAGAAGGAGAUAAAAAACUAAUAAAUCCAACGAUUUAGAUUUAAUCUUUCUUCCUUACUUUUUUUUCGAUCUCUACAAAUCUCUCCCCAUAUUCUUGAUCCAAAUAGCAAUUAUAAAAGAAUAAAAUUCUCAAGUAUCAGCUCUGGCCUAGCUAGGGUAAGCACCGCCGCCGGACUAUCACUCUAUAGCAAGCUUAGCCGGGUUUUUGUACUGAAUUAUGCUAUAUAAGGCCACAAAUAUCUUUCAAAAAGGUUAUGCAAUUAUCGUACCCCAAGCCUUCUUAAAAUUCUCUCUCCUCUACAUAUAUUGGUAAAUCCCGUCAUUACUUCGACAGUCGAAAAAAUCGUAGCGGGACAGCUCCAACAAUAUUUUCACACUGUUAGUGUGUUGUAGUUCGGCCUAGUAACCAAGAGCCAUCGACGACCAAAAAUCAACAGUUGAUACACCACCAUAUGUAUUUUCGAUUUUUUCUCUUCCAUUUCUAGCAUCCACAUGCCCUCAACAGCCUUAGAAGUUUGACUCGUAUUUUUUCACGUGUGUAAUUUUUUAGUUGUAACUUAAAACACAAAUUUAUAUUCCUUUAUUUUUAUUUUUUGUGUGGGGUGUGGAACAUUUGAUUCUAUGCUUCAAGUUGUGGAUUGAAAUGAAAAGUAAUACAAAAAAAAAAAGAAAAGAAAAUGAAGAUAAAUUCUUUUAUUAAUAUGACAAGUUAGGAAUCUAAGGGGAAAAAAAGAUACUUAUGUGUCAAGUAAUUUAUUUAUUUAAUUUAAUUUAAUUAUCCAUAAAUGAAAAAUGCUACCCACCGCGUAAAUUUAUCCUCCCUCUCCCUCCCCCACCCCACACACACGAUUUGACUAAUAUUUUUUUUUUUUUACCCCAAUUUCUUUCUCCAAACUACCAUUUUGCCAUUUCAAACUAUUUAUUUUUUCGUUUCGUUUAUACAUUUUUUAUUAUUUUUAUAUCUUUUUACGUUUAUUCUUUUUAUUUUAUUUAAUUACACUUUAUCUUUUAUAUUCUUUUUACUUGUUAUUCUUUUUUUUUCCUUUUAACACACUUUUAUAUUAUUUUUUAUUUUUUUAUUUGUUAUUUUUUUUUUAAUAUCUUUUUUUUCUUUUAUUCCUUUUCACUUUUAUUAUUGUUUUUAAUUGAGUGAAUUGUUCAAAAAAUACGAAAAAAAAUAAACUUUUAAAAUAGGGAAAUAAUUUCUACACUCCAAAAAAUUGAUUCACUACACUCCUAUUUUGGAUUGUAGGACUCAAAAAAGGAGUGUAGAAAUAAAUUUUCUUAAAAUAUAAAUCAGAAGUAAAUAGUAAACUCACAUUAACAUAAGAAUAUAAUAUUUAAUCAAUAUCUCCUCUAAACUCUCCUCGGAGGCGCACAGAUCCUAACAAAAAAUAUUGACACAUUCAUUACACUCUUAAUCCCUUAAACAACAUCGCAACUACCGUGACCAAAUGUCGUAAACAUCCUCAUCCCUACUAAAAUUGACACCAUAUAAACAUUGACAAUGGUCAUUAAUUCACUCCCUAUAUUGUAAGUACUCCCACAACCAUACACAUGUAUAACCUCUUUCCUUUUAAAUGACCCCACAACCAUAUUGUAAUACAUUUUAAAAUUUUUAUAAAUAAUACUUUUCAAAAUCUACAACUAAAAAUACAAAAGAUUACAAAACAUAUAAUAAAAAAAAAUUAGUACCCAAAAGCAAAAAAAAUGAUAGAAGAAAGAAGAGAAAGAAAAAUUUUAAAAAAGAAUGGAAAAUAAUAAAAAAAACUGAAAAAAAAAACUUAAAAAAAAUAAUAAAAAAGAUUUAAAAAAAUAAAAAAAAAACUGAAAAAAAAAAAUAAACAAAAAAACUGAAAAGAAGAGAGAGGGGGGGGGCGUGGGUGGAGGGAUGAGAGAGAGAGAGAAAGGGGGGCAUUUUGGUACUUUCAGAAGGAGACAAGGGGGAGGGGUGGUGUCAGGGGUGAGUGGAUCACCUCUCCACACCGCUCAUGUCAAUUGAGACGUUGGUAUUUCAUAAAAGUGGAAAUGUCUUGUCCCGUAGUGGGUCAAAAAUCUGCCAUUCUUUUCGCCAAACCGUCCACAUAGGGUUCGGUCCCUGAAGUAAUUGUAUGAUGCGUUUGAGAGUAUAUAAAAUAUAUAUUUAUUAUCUUAGAAUUAAAAUAGUACAACAAAAAACAAAAAUAAUGGGGUUUAGUGUUAUGGGGGAGGAUCGGGGUGCCUGUGGGGAGGGUGCCUGAGGGUUGUAGAGAUCCAAAACGCCGUCGUUUUGGGUCAGUUUUACUCAAAACGAUAUCGUUGUUUUAAAAAAAAAAUUUGGCCCAAAACGACGGCGUUUGUGCAAUACAUUUUUGAAUAUAAAACGACGUCGUUUGGACUAAAAGGGACGGAAAACGGCGUCGUUUUUGGCUCCCUUCACGCUCUUGCAGGCGCCAGCACACGAACCCCCCCGCAGCUCCCCAAAUCGUGUAUGAGUACCCUAAAUGGUACUCCACAAAUCUACCCACCAUGAGGUGGAGCAUUGGAUGGGUGGGGUGUGGGGUCCACCCACUUUGUCAACCAAUUCCUCCCCCACCACUCGCUCCACUCAUGGUGGGGGUACAUUUAGGGUGCCAACAUUGGCCCCCCCGGCGACCACCACCCCCAAGCAUUUUUCAAAAAAUAAUAUCGUUUUGCACUCACCUGCAUGCAGUGUAUUCAAAAUGAAACACUUAAACAUUAUUACUUUAGAAGACCCAAAAUCCGGUCCCCCCCACCACCAUGUAGCUCUCAAAACUCGUCUUUUAUACUUUUGUGGUAGAUAUGCAAAGAAAAAUAUUGGCCCCGUUGAUAGACAUUCCAAACCACAACUUAUUUAAGUCGUUUACAUUUUUUUAAAAAAAUUAAUUUUAUAUUUUUUUGUCUUUAUCUUUAUCUUUAUUUAAAGAAAAAAUAAAUUGAUGAUGAGUGAUAAUAGUGAUAAUGUUUGUGCCAGGCAGGACCCACACCACACCCCCGGACGCCGGCCUUUUGCCAUCGUCGUCGGUGUGAAGAUGGUGACGUGUGAUGGAGUUGAAAACUGGUAUUAAAAGACGGCGUCAAUAACAAAAGGCAAAAAUAAAUUAUGAAUAUUUUUUUAUUAUUUCAAUAAAUUCUUGAAUAAAAAAGAUGUUUUUUUAUUAUUUCAAUAAAUUCUCAUAUUAUGCGUGUUUUCUAUAUAUGCAUAACUCGUAUAAUGAUAAUUUAUUAUUUUAAAAAAAUAUAAAAAAAUAAUAUUAUUUAUUCUACACAAUUUUUUUUAUAAAAAUAUAAAUUAAAAUAUAUAGCAAUGAUGUAUGAUAGUGAUAUGUUUAAUUGAAAAACAUAAGGAUAUAAAAUAAAUUUUUAUUUAUAAUACAUUAAAUAUUUAGUUAAAAAAAGAGUAAAAAAUUAUCAUUUAAGACCGUAUAAAGAACUUAAAAUAAUUUUUUUUAAAAUAAAAAAUUAUUUAAAUAAAUAUAGUUUUUAUAAUAAAAUUUAGAAAAAAAAUCAAGUUUGUAUAAAAAUGAUACCUACUAUCAUGAUGGGACCUAGGCUUCAAGGUGACAUUUAUUGCAGCUUUCCAUUUUAUACACUACUAGUAAUUAUACGUGCCUACAACACUACAUAAAAAAAACACCUCUUAGACGUACUCGUUAGAAUUUUAUAAUAUAAAAAAUAAAUAAGAUAUAAAUUUUAAUUAAAAAAUAUAUUAUAUAGAUAUACAAAGAGAUAUAUUGCUAUAAAAUAAAAAAUAAAUUAAAAAAUAUAAUAAGUUUUAAAAAAUUUUGCUAAUUUAAAAGAAAUAUGGGAGAAAGAAAUAGGUGUUUUAAUUUUUUUUAUGUGGGUCCCAUUAAAAAAUGAUUCAAUGGAUAAUUUUUGUCCGUAUUUAGAAUUUAUUUAUUAGGUAAAAACAUAUGUGACUCCCACACCUUUGAAAAAAGUGAUAUUUUUUUUAAAAAAAUAAUCUCAAGUGAAAUCUCAGCCGUUGGAUUAACUCAAAUGAAUUUUAACUGUAGAUAGUAGAAGAUAAUUUUAAAAUUCAAAAUAAAUUAUAUUUUUUUGAUGAUUGGUAAAUUGGUAGGCCUAGUUGGUUUGACGAUGGAUAAGGAGUAGGUCUUGGACUGGACAAGGAGUAUCCGGACUGGACAAGGAGUCCCCGAAUAUAAGUCGGACUUAAUCAUCGUUAGCCGUUGUGUGUUUUACUACGGACAAAACUCGGAUAACUGGUAGGCCAGUCUUGUCCUAUGUGCGUUGACUAAGUAAGCGAAGGAAAAAUGACGGAAAUGACAAACAUACCUUCACUCUUUCCCCUCUAUAUUGUCUUUUUUAGUUUUGUUUCUUUUUUCAUUAGGUGUUUUAAUGAUUUUUUAUUUUAAAUUAAUUUUUUAUCAGUUUUAUUUAUUUUAGAGAUAAAACAAACCUUUUUUUUGAAAAAUUAACCCGUUUUCGAAAAAGUAUUCAAAAAAUAUUUAAUAAAAUAUAUAUAAAAAAUAAUAAUUUAAAAAUAUAAAUUUGUAGUGAAAAUAGUUUUCAGAAAAUAUAAUAGUUUUUCUUUUAUAGUAUGUAUAUAUUUUUCACUAAUUAUUAAAUAAUAAUUUUAAUAUUAGUGAUAUUUUGAAACUACUUGUGAUUACAAUUUUAAAUUUUUUGUUUCUCUUAACGAGAUAAGACUGAAAAGUAAUUUUUUUAUUUAAUUUUUGAAAAAAUAAAUUAUAAAAAUUAUUAUUUCUAAAAAAAACUAUUGUUUUAAAAAUAACUCUUUGAUAAAAAAACUGAUUAUAUUUUCUAAAAUUAUUCUCAAUAAUAUUAUUCAAAAUUAUUUUUUAAUAUUUUUUUUUGAUUAAAUAUUUUUUAAAAAAAUAUUUUUUCGGAAAAAAUGGUUAAUUUUCAAAAAUUAAAAAAGUAUCUCCAAAAGAACUGAUAAAACAAAUUAAUUUAAUAAAAAAUAAAAAAUUAAUUUAAAAAAACUUAUCAAAAAUAAAAAAAUAAAAAAAAAAAGAAAGAGAGAGGAGGAGAGAGAGAGGCGGGGGAGAGAGCUGGAAGACAAGAGGAAUUAUUCAAUAUGUGUUAGAGCAAAUAUUAGUAAUUUAAUAUAGUCCAACUUAGGUUUAGUCCGGGGGACUAAGAGGUCCCAGCUCUCACCCCGGGCAGAUAGUCCCAUGUGAGGGGGGACUAUUAGUCCGUUCGGAUUAUUAAUCGUUCGAAACCAUUUUAUGUAAACAAACCGAGGAUUGGACUGAACUCGUUGUCCAGUCCGACCUAGGCCGACUAAUCCGGGCAAACAACCUACCCUUACGGGCCGUUUGGCUGGCGGAUCCGGGAGGGGAGAUAAAUUUUAGAGGGGCUAACCUUUUGAAGGGGAUAACUUUUUAACUGGGUUGGACCUUUUUAGAAUGGGUGGAUAAGGGUCGGUGAUAAAAAAAAAUAUAGAGAGGAACCAAAUAUAACAUAUUUAGAGAUUAAAAAAAUAUAUUUACCUUUCUUAUAUAUAAUAAUAUAAAUAAAAAAUAGACAUUUUGUUCUCCUUUAAUAUUUUUUUUCUUAUCCCUCACCCACUGAUCCCCCGGGAUAUUUUAGUAGGUCUAGGCCACCCAAAAAUUACCGCAUCAUCACCUGUGGGGAAUAUAUCCGGGCGGCAUAAAUUACACCGCCUUAUCGCCAGCCAAACGACAUGGGGGACAAAUUUAUCGGGGGAAAAAAAUUAUCUCCCUCCUUAAUCAGCAGCAAAACAGCCCCUUCAGUGUCUACAGCAUUGGAUUGUAAGACCACAUGCUGUUUGGUUUAAAAAAUCAAACGUAGUACAAAUAAUGAAUUGGAACAGAACCUGUCCAUUGUUAUCACUGUUGAAAAUGUUAGGAUUUAAUUUAUUUUAAACCCACAGACAAACCCACACAAUUAAAGAAUAAAUCAAGAAUAUCAAACAAUAAAAAAUAAGAGUAAGAUAUACUGAUUUUACGUGGUUCGGUAAUUUGCCUACGUCCACGAAAUUGCAGAGAUUUCACUAUUGAGAGAGAGAGUUACAAAGAGGCGACUAUACAAUAUACGCGUUAAUCCUAAACACCAAAAUAACGGAUUUUAUAUGUCCUGCGCAUCGGACUACAAAAUAGGCCAAAAAAAUUUUCAGUCCAAGCCUCCGCUCCAUAAAAUAAGCCUCAUUGAAAAUCUCAUUUAAAACCACGCAACAUUAUUUUUGGUCGGAUCAUCAUUUAGAUCAACGCAAAUUAGACUCCACAAAAGAACCCAACGGAAAACCUAACUCAUUUGGAAAAAUUAAUAUUCCCUUCCAUCAAUUUAUUUGUUCAAUUUCAUUAUUUUAGAGAUAUAAAAAAAAUAUUUAUGUUUUUUAAUUUAUAUUUUUUUAUAAUUUUGAAAAUUUUGUAUAUAAAAAUUAACAGGGAUCUUCUGAUUGGUAUAAAAAAUUACAAAAAAUUAUUCACAGAAGUAUAUUUUUUGUAAAUCUAAUUAAAAUGCACAAAUGUCAAAAAGACAAAUAAAUUUGGGCGGAAGGAGUAGGAUGCAAUUUCCCCGCAGUUCAAAUUUUUAAAUUCUGGAUUGCACAAUAAGUUUAAGUAUUUUGAGUUCAUUUUAAUAAUUCAAAUCAUGGAUAUUGUAAAUCUCGUCAUGGAGUUUACUACGAUAAGAAAAUUACGUUGAUCAGAUACAAAUCAAUAAUUAAUUACUAUUAAUCUAUAUUAAAAUAAAUUAGUAUAAUUUUGUGUGUAACAAGCAUUUAUGAAGUUAUAUAAAAUAAUAAUGUACGGAUAUUAAUUUUGUAUCCAAUCAAUAUAAUUUUAUACAGUGUUGAUUUUCACAACAGAGUUUAUAAUAUAAAUAAUUUAAAUCAUUAAAUCAGAUUCAAAAUACUUGAGCUGGAUGUGGAAUCCAAAAAUUUAGAAGCUUUGUCCAAAUUAAUAAUGGAGAGACAAAAAAUUCACAUGACACGCGAUUCACGAAAGCAAUAAGAUGAGGAAUUUAAGGUAAGACAGAGACUUGAGAGUUGUAAUCUUCUGUUUUUUUGUUUUUUUCAUAUGGCAUGCAAGAAGAUUCAACAUAAAUUGAACAUAUCAAAAGCUAAUAUUAUAUUAUAUAUUCCGUAAUUAACUAAAAAAAUAAUAUUUCGGUUAGGUCUGUUAAUGGAACGAAUUUAGAUAAAAUUCGUGAAAAUCCAACUAAAUCUGUUAACAAUUUUUUUCUAUGAAAAAUAGUUUUUUAAAAAAAACAAAAAAACGGCUUUUUAAAAAAAUAGUAUUUUAGAAAAACAGUUAUUAUUUAAAAAGAGAAAUAACAUUUUUUGAAAAGGAUCAAAUCGGUUUAAAUUGAAUUCGGAUUUCGACUCCUCUGAGAAUGAAUUAGAAAAAUAAGAGGAAAACGAAAA